rnacentral:rRNA from 1 species
AUAUGCUUGUCUCAAAGAUUAAGCCAUGCAUGUCUCAGUACAAGCCACAUUAAGGUGAAACCGCGAAAGGCUCAUUAAAUCAGUUAUGGUUCCUUAGAUCGUACCCACAUUUACUUGGAUAACUGUGGUAAUUCUAGAGCUAAUACAUGCAAACAGAGUUCCGACCGGAGACGGGAGGAAUGCUUUUAUUAGAUCAAAACCAAUCGGCGGCGGGUGCGCUCGCGCGCCCGUUCGCCGCUCAACCUGGUGACUCUGAAUAACUUUCGGCUGAUCGCACGGUCUAGCACCGGCGACGCAUCUUUCAAAUGUCUGCCUUAUCAACUGUCGAUGGUAGGUUCUGCGCCUACCAUGGUCGUAACGGGUAACGGGGAAUCAGGGUUCGAUUCCGGAGAGGGAGCCUGAGAAACGGCUACCACAUCCAAGGAAGGCAGCAGGCGCGCAAAUUACCCACUCCCGGCACGGGGAGGUAGUGACGAAAAAUAACGAUACGGGACUCAUCCGAGGCCCCGUAAUCGGAAUGAGUACACUUUAAAUCCUUUAACGAGGAUCAAUUGGAGGGCAAGUCUGGUGCCAGCAGCCGCGGUAAUUCCAGCUCCAAUAGCGUAUAUU